CAGAGGGUGCAAGCGUUGUUCGGAAUUAUUGGGCGUAAAGCGCGUGUAGGCGGCUUUGCAAGUCGGGUGUGAAAUCCCUCAGCUCAACUGAGGAAGUGCGCCCGAAACUGCAGAGCUUGAGUACCGGAGAGGAUGGCGGAAUUCCCCAAGUAGAGGUGAAAUUCGUAGAUAUGGGGAGGAACACCGGUGGCGAAGGCGGCCAUCUGGACGGAUACUGACGCUGAGACGCGAAAGCGUGGGGAGCAAACAGGAUUAGAUACCCUGGUAGUCCACGCCGUAAACGAUGAGAACUAGGUGUCGCGGGUGUUGACCCCUGCGGUGCCGUAGCUAACGCAUUAAGUUCUCCGCCUGGGAAGUACGGCCGCAAGGCUA
rnacentral:rRNA from 1 species